rnacentral:rRNA from 1 species
AACGAACGCUGGCGGCAGGCCUAACACAUGCAAGUCGAACGAACCUUUCGGGGUUAGUGGCGGACGGGUGCGUAACACGUGGGAACGUGCCUUUAGGUUCGGAAUAACUCAGGGAAACGUGUGCUAAUACCGAAUGUGCUCUUCGGGCGAAAGAUUUAUCGCCUUUGGAUGGGCCCGCGUCUGAUUAGCUAGUUGGUUGAGGUAAUGGCUAACCAAGGCGACGAUCAGUAGCUGGUCUGAGAGGAUGAUCAGCCACAUUGGGACUGAGACACGGCCCAACCUCCUACGGGAGGCAGCAGUGGGGAAUCUUGCGCAAUGGGCGAAAGCCUGACGCAGCCAUGCCGCGUGAAUGAUGAAGGUCUUAGGAUUGUAAAAUUCUUUCACCGGGGACGAUAAUGACGGUACCCGGAGAAGAAGCCCCGGCUAACUUCGUG